ensembl:snRNA U2 U2 spliceosomal RNA
AUCGCUUCUCGGCCUUUUGGCUAAGAUCAAGUGUAGUAUCUGUUCUUAUCAGAUACGAAAUAGAGGUAGAACGUAGCGGGUUUUAAUUCGUGAUUCUAAUUGUGUUUUAUUCUGGUUUUUAGGCCCAGCUCAC